rnacentral:tRNA from 3 species
UGCGAGAUCGUCUAAUGGUAGGACGCUUGACUCUGGAUCAGGAAAUGGAGGUUCGAAUCCUUCUCUCGCAACCA